GACAGAGGUGCCGAGCGUUUAGGCGGAAUCACUGGGCUUAAAGCGUGUGUAGGCGGCCCGUUAAGUGCCUCGUGAAAUCCCCCGGCUCAACCGGGGAACUGCCGGGCAUACUGGCGGGCUUGGGUCGCUCAGGGGCAGACGGAACAGGCGGUGGAGCGGUGAAAUGCGUAGAUAUCGGGAAGAACACCAAAGGCGAAAGCGCUCUGCUGGGCC
rnacentral:rRNA from 1 species